UUUGGUAGAUGAUGACAUGAUACAAACAUUAUCAAAGUAUCAGCGAUGAUGAAUUGUAUAUUUGCACGUCAGUCUGAUCCCAAA
rfam:Morus notabilis contig21961, whole genome shotgun sequence.